rnacentral:rRNA from 1 species
ACGAAGGUUGGCUAAUCCUGGUCGGACAUCAGGAGGUUAGUGCAAUGGCAUAAGCCAGCUUGACUGCGAGCGUGACGGCGCGAGCAGGUGCGAAAGCAGGUCAUAGUGAUCCGGUGGUUCUGAAUGGAAGGGCCAUCGCUCAACGGAUAAAAGGUACUCCGGGGAUAACAGGCUGAUACCGCCCAAGAGUUCAUAUCGACGGCGGUGUUUGGCACCUCGAUGUCGGCUCAUCACAUCCUGGGGCUGAAGUAGGUCCCAAGGGUAUGGCUGUUCGCCAUUUAAAGUGGUACGCGAGCUGGGUUUAGAACGUCGUGAGACAGUUCGGUCCCUAUCUGCCGUGGGCGCUGGAGAACUGAGGGGGGCUGCUCCUAGUACGAGAGGACCGGAGUGGACGCAUCACUGGUGUUCGGGUUGUCAUGCCAAUGGCACUGCCCGGUAGCUAAAUGCGGAAGAGAUAAGUGCUGAAAGCAUCUAAGCACGAAACUUGCCCCGAGAUGAGUUCUCCCUGACCCUUUAAGGGUCCUGAAGGAACGUUGAAGACGACGACGUUGAUAGGCCGGGUGUGUAAGCGCAGCGAUGCGUUGAGCUAACCGGUACUAAUGAACCGUGAGGCUUAACCUUACAACGCCGAAG